AUGGAAUAAAAAGAAGAAGCUUUUUGUGUGUAUGUGUGAGUGCUGCUGUUGUGUGUGUGGAAGCUAUUAUCGUCGUUGGGUGAGUCGGGCAGGUUGGGAUCGAGAGAGAACAGGGGAAGAUCGACGGCGGUGGUGGCCGAUGAGUUGAAGAAUCAGAGGAGGAGGGAGGCGGCGAUGGCGGCGGUCCGGCUGACUGCUGCUGUCGGCUGGAGCAGAGGGGGGCCAAGUCCGGCGGUAACCUCGCGGGAAAUCGUAGGAGAAAGAUGGUUUAGGGAUUUAGAGGGAGUGAUUUGUGGUUUUGGGGGUUUGGCGAAUUGAGAGGGAGAUACGAGGGAGACAGAGGGGUGGUACCGUGGCGGCGGCGGCGGCGGCCGGAGGACGGCGCUGCUGCCAUCCGCCGGAGGAGAGAAGAGGGCGAGAGGGAGGCUGCUGCGCAGCAGCAGCUGCGUGUGUGUGUGUGUGCGUGUGUUUUGUGUGUGUGUGAGUAUGUGUUUUAAAAAGAAGAAGAAAAGAGUUUGGGCCUUUUUAAUUGUUGGGCUUCAUGCAUAUAUUUGUUAGUGGGCUGCAUUUUUAUAACUUGGGCUAUGAAUUAUAUUUUUGGGCUGCAUUUUUUUUUUUUGCAUGAAGAAGGCCUCUUAUUAAAUUACUAAUCGAGCCAUGAAUUUAUUUAUUUGUGAAUCGAUUUUUUAGUAAAAGCCGAGCAAGGGUAUUAUUGAAACCCUUAGCCAAGAAAAAUGAUUUCAAGUUUUGUGUUGAAUUUUUGAAAACCCGGGUGUUGCGAAUCUAGUUAGAAAAUGAUGGCAAGUCAUGAAGGUUAAGCUUGAUUUUAGGACUAUGAGUUUAAGUUGAGAACUUAUCUUGUAGGUCUUACAGAAGAGGAUAUUUAGGCUCUUGUCCAGCUGAGUUAUUUGUUUGGAUUUUCUCCAAAUCAGGUGAGGCUUUAUUUACGAAAUGUAUGUUUGAGCUAAUAACCUCGAUUUUAUGUAAAGUUAAAGUUGAUGGUUCAUGCUUAAAAUGUUUUUGCUCUCUAUUGGUUAUUGCUUCUACCAGAACAUUGUUGGCUCCGCCAACCAGAACAUUGUUAGCUCUGCUAACCAGAAUUGUGUACGUACACCAGAACCUGUUGUCUCGAGAGAUCGGUGACAACCAGUUGUAGAUAGCAUGCCCAAUAGAUGGCCAGGAAAAUAUGAGCUCAGAUUAUUUUAGUAUGCAUGGAAUGACUCAUCUUUAAAAACAUUCUGUGUUAUACUGUUUAAGGCAUGAAUUAUCUUUUUCAGUAAAUGAUAUUUAAAAUGUUUUUAAAUGGCUCAACCCACUGAGUACACUAGUACUCAGCCCUGCAAUUGUUUUCAAAACCUUUUGCAGAUUGAGCAGCUGGUGGUGACGUGCGAAGCUGAGGAAAGGUUGUUGCUGUAAUAUUGAAGAACACUCUGUUUUACUUCCGCUGAAAUAAAUUCACUUAGUGAAUAUUAUCUGAUGCCUAACUAUAUUAAUACUUUUAUUCAUAUUUAUAAUAUGAAUUUCAUUCUCCAUCACUUUUCUAGCAAUUGUUUUCCCGCAUCUAUUAUAUGCUUUGUAUGAGACGUUGUCUUGGUCUCAGACCUUCGAACUUCCGAUCCUGAUAGGGAGAAUAAUUAUGUUAUAAUGUCGUACUUGCUCUCAUUUAAAUACGGCAUAAUGCCAACCCUCAGGGCGCAUUACAUAUUUUAUUCAAGUAAAGCUUAGUAAUCCUGUCACAUAGCCCAUUUCUUUUUCUCCCGGGAAAUCGGGGCUGUCACAAAUGGUAUCAGAGCAAAAGUUCUUGGCUCUGAGACCACUAUUUCAUUGAUGUUGUGUCUAGAAUAGCAUCUCUAGACUUCCAAGCUACACAGCAACCCUCAGCUCGCCUUCACACUGCUCUCAAGAAAGAAAGGUACGCGAUUUUAACAAAUUUUACUUAAAGUGCGUACAAGUAUUUAAAGUGGUUUUAAAAGCAAGAGUUCUUGUUAAAAGAAAAUAUUUCAGUUUGUUGUAUUAUUUUACAACUAGAUUCCCAGAAAGAUGUUAUUUUGAGCUUUAGCUUGAAUAACCAGAAAGUUUGUCAUAUUUUUAUGACCAGAAAGAUUGUCAUAUAUAUUUAUAUGACCAGAAAGUUCAGAAAGUUUGUCAUGUUUGUAUGACCAGAAAGAUUUGUCAUAUUCAUUUAUGUGACCAGAAAGUUGUCAUCUUUUUAUGACCAGUAUUUGAGCUUUGACUCCAGAAUCAGUUAUAUGUUACAGUCAGAACAGUCAGUGAAAUUGUCAUAAUGAUUUUACGUCUUUAUGACCAGCAACUAUUAGUAGGCAGACCUAGUUUUUGCCUCAGUUAUCAGUUCAUAAAGGUGUUAUUUUCUCGUAGUUAGAGAAAUACACUAGAUAGUAGCAUGAGAAUCUUAUGAGAUAGACUGCUAGCAUGAAGUGCUAUAGAAGAAUCAAGAAAAACUUAGAGUGCUCAGCGGAAGCACGUAUAACUUAGAAUGCUUGAAUGGAAAGAUAGAACAUAGAAAGACAUCACACGAAGAGAUAGAACAUAGAAGUACAGAAUUUAGAAAGAUAGAUCGCAAAAGACAAAGAGAAUAGAAGAAUAAGACAUAGAAGGAUGAGCUGAAGACAAACAAAACGACGAGUGAAUUGUUCCACGCAAUCUACAAGUAUGAAAGACUCAAGACUUCACAGUAACGUGUACCAAUCACUGAAGAAAUGUGGAAGAGAGCUACUGCAACUUCACCACAAGCAGACAAGAAUUUGAAGCUACGAGGAGGAAUGCCCCACAAUAUAAAUGGCUGGAGAAGAAGAAAGGGUACCUAACGCUGAAGAACCUGUGCUACAAGCCGCACAACGCAGAGCGAGUGAAAGGUUCCGCAAGCACAAUCCACCCACCUUCAAUGGAAUGGGAGAUCCAAUGGAUGCAGAAAAAUGGAUACGAUCCUUAGAGCGAAUCUUCGACUUCAUGGAUCUUACUGACAAAGAGCGUUUGACAUGUGCUAUCUUUCAACUAACAGACGAGGCUGACUAUUUGUGGGAGUCGGUGCAGAGGACGUUAUCGCCACAACAAUGGGAAGAAUACACGUGGGAUAAUUUCAAAGCAGAAUUGUACGAGAAGUAUAUUCCUCAGAGUUAUCGAAUCAAGAAAGAAGCACAAUUCUGGAAUCUUCGACAAGAGAAUAAAUCUGUCACUGAGUACGACAGACUAUUUGUCCAGUUAUCACGCUACGCUCCACACUUGGUGGAUACUGAGGAGAAAAGAUCUGAAAAGUUCAGGCGAGGUCUACGACACGAGAUAGGAAUGCCUUUGGCUAGUCAAGGAAUACUAACCUAUGCUCAAUCUUUAAGCAGAGCUCGAGAUAUUGAAGCUAUGAUGCCAGAAGAAAUGAAAGCACCUAUUCAAGCCCCUGACAAUAAGCGUGAGAACAACAAACGGAAAAGGGUAUGGCAAGGGAUUGAUCAGCAAAAGCAACAAAACCAACAAGAAGGGCCAAAUACCCCGCAACAAGUACCAUUUUGCCAGAAUUGCCACAAAAAUCAUUUCGGAGUUUGCAAAGCUGGAAGCGACGCUUGCUACAAGUGUGGAGAAAAGGGUCACUUUGCUCGACAAUGCCCAGGAACACCACUGGGAGGCCCUCAGCAUCAAAAUCAAAAUCAAGGAAGAAACCGAGGCAAAAGACCACUCCAAAUGGCCAGAGCUUAUGCCCUUAACCAGCAACAUACAGCUCAGGCAACUGAAGACUUGGAAGGUACGAUCAUAUAAUUGACGUACUAGAAUAAGUAGAGUUUGUUAUCUUUCAGGAUGAUAUUCUGAAUCAAGAAAGCAAGCAUAUUAUUCUAGUAGAAUCACUACAGACCAGAAUGAGUAUAUGAUAGCUAUAAGCUAAGAAUGACACUUAGAAGUUCGAAAUUUCGAGGACGAAAUUUUUUUAAGGGGGGAGGGUUGUAAUACCCCGAAUUUUUCCUCAAUAUGAUUUUAGAAGAAUGAUUGGAUUUAGAAUUAAGUCGAUUCGCACCCCGGAGAAAAUUUGUUUUAAUUCAGAUAAAUGGUUUGUUAAAAUUUUGAGGCAAAUUUGUUAAUGGGCCUUAUUUGAUUAUGAUGUGGGAUCAUUUAUCUUUUUAUAGUGGGCCGAAUUAUUAUUUUUGGAGGCCCAAAUCCAUUACUAUUACAGAUAUUUUCACAAACUUAUCAGAAUAUCAUCAAAAGCCAUUUUUUUUGUAUCUGAUGAUUAAUGGAAGGGGGUUCAUCCACGUUGCCAAUUUCCUUCUACAAAAUCCCCCAUCAAAGUAUGAAAUUUCUCACUCGAGCUUUUCACCGAGGAUCAGCAGUAGAGCUCUUCUCUUCCUCAAUCAUUCCAUAAGAAAAUUUCCAUCAUAUUCUUAUCAUCCACAGACAACAACCCACAAAAUCAACCAUCAUCAAGAAAUCGAAAGUCUAUUCCCAACCACAGUUCGUUAUAUUCUUUUUGCCACUCAAUCACAUCUCUUUGAUGAAGAACUCUAUUCAAUAGCAAAAUCCUUGAGAAAAGGUCUUACAGAAGAGGAUAUUUAGGCUCUUGUCCAGCUGAGUUAUUUGUUUGGAUUUUCUCCAAAUCAGAUUGAGCAGCUGGUGGUGACGUGCGAAGCUGAGGAAAGGUUGUUGCUGUAAUAUUGAAGAACACUCUGUUUUACUUCCGCUGAAAUAAAUUCACUUAGUGAAUAUUAUCUGAUGCCUAACUAUAUUAAUACUUUUAUUCAUAUUUAUAAUAUGAAUUUCAUUCUCCAUCA